ACCAGUGUAGCAAAAUUGGAAUAUGCCUCGGGGGGCGGCCGCAGAUACGACCCCGUGAAGUGCAGGUUCAAGUCCUGCCGCUGGUA
rnacentral:tRNA from 1 species